rnacentral:tRNA from 2 species
ACUUAAUUAGCUUAUUUGUUUAGAGUAUUAUAUUGAAGAUAUAAAGGAAAAUAUUUAUUGAGUA